ACACUCUCUACGCAAAGUAUAUAUACAUUAAAGGUAAAACCAUAUGAUGAAAUAUUUUUCUAUUGUGCUGUUGCUGAAGGUUGGUGAAACCAAAGACAAGGCACACUUAAGUUGCCAGAAUAGUCAAGAAAAAGAACUGAGGUGAAAAAUUGGCCCUAUCAGAUAUCAAGACACAGUGAGAAGUGAUUGGAAUCUGUGUGAUACAGGUUCAAAAAAUCAUUUUCAUUGUUUAAAGUCAAGAGUCCGGACUCAUUCAAAUUAGUAAGGGGAAUUAUGGGUUAUUUAAUAAAUGCUGUCAGGACAAUCAUUUAUGUGUUUGGGAAGAAGAGAUCCCAAUUCACGGUAUUGACAAAAAUAAUUUUCAGAUAACUGAAUGUUAUAUCAAAAUUCUAAAACUUACACAUGAAAAUAUGUUUCAGUUUUCCGAGGUGGGAAUGGGUCUUCUUAAGAUCCCAAAAGACAAAGAAAUAAAAGAUUGAUAAAUUUGAUCUCCUAAAAUUUUUGAUGUUUAAAAUUUUAAAAAUAACUUUUAUUGGAGUGUCAUAUACAAGCAGAAAAGAACACAAAUCUGUGACUUCCUUUGACUAGCAGGAUGGUGCAUAACUGAUGCUAGGUGGUUUCACGGCUAGGGCUUGGGAUAUCUGCAGUUUCUGUUACCUGAGGCUUGGAAUCCUCCCUCUUAAAAGCAAACUGUGAGAAACUCAAGUCUCAUGAGGAUAACUGAGGCACUGAGUUCCCAGCCAGUAUCCAGCUUCCUGCGCCAUCUUGAACUUUCCAGCAUGGUUAGUCCCUAGGAUUGCAGCCUAGUGCAGUGGAGCCAACUCUCAGAAAAUAAAAACUGGCAAGGACUUCCAGGACAGUGUUGAAUAGAAGUGUCAAAAGAGGCAUCUCCCUCACUGCCAGGCUCAGAGGGAAAGUUUUCAGUAUUCCGUAUUAUCUGUGAUAUUGGGUGAAUAUUGCUCUUUUCCUUUGUAGAUACCUUUUAUCAGAUUAUGGACAUUCCCUUUUAUUUCUAAUUUGCCAAGAAUUUUUAAAUUAUAAAUGUUUGCUAAAUUUGAUUACAUUCCUUUUAUUGCACAUUUGAGAUGAUG
rnacentral:lncRNA from 1 species